GUAAUGGAUGAAAUCCAUCCUAAUGGCUUUUGCCCUGAAGAAGCAUUUUACAAUAUUUGGCCUUCUGCCCCACUGCCAGUAGCAUAGGCUGACUGGGUUUCUAUUACCAAUAACGUCCUUCUUUUUAUGCUCCUUGUUCUGUUUUCCUUUGUGUUGCAGUAAGCAGAAUGAAGACCAAAAGACAUUCAGAAAGGAGAACAGACAAAAGAGAAGUGAUAGUGAACAAGUGCUAGAAAUACAAGACAGAAACAAGAUUUGGGAAAAGUUUGGGACAGAUGGAAUCUAUCAUUCGAUAAUGUCAAAUGAUCCAAAAGUCUCUGGAGUCCUCUGUGUGAUCUUCGAGGACUCGUCAACCUGAAAACAGAACAGGAUGCAGGUGUUUCAACUGUGGAUGCCAUAGUGGUAGGUUCCAAGGAUCAAAGAACAAGCUCCAUUAGAAGUCAGUGUGGAUGGAUGCUCGUGGCCAGGGUUGACAUCCCCUGGUACUCACUAGCAAGGCCCUAUCAGUUGUGACAGUUGUUAUCUGUUUUGACUGGUUGGUGCCUGUAUCCUAUUGCUUGUUAAACAUUUUGAGUAUCACACCUACUGGUGACCUCGGCCUGAUGGCGGGAAGUUUAAAAAAUCCCCUCCCCCAAUUUGGAUCACCCCUUAGGGAUAAGGGAAAAAAAAGGGAAGGGAGCAUCCUGAAAUGACUGAUGAUUCCCUCCCCGGGACUCUAGAAUAAACCAGUGACUACAUUUACCUUGAUUGUUAGGCAUAAGUUUUCUGUUAUCAGUGAA
rnacentral:lncRNA from 1 species